UCAAAAACAAGCAGUAAGAGGAGUACAGUUGCGUGUACGCACAGCGAGUUGAGGGCGGUGGAAGCUCAACCUAUGACGGGCGGCUGGAAAAACACUUACUGGGUUGCCAGCUGAAACAAUUAUUGUAGUAGGCUUCGCCGGCAUCAAUCCGUUAACAUUGACAGCGUAUGUUUGUACGCUUAAAGUGGUUUAUUCGGUAAACAAAUUGGGUGGUACCGCGAAAGUUGCCUUUCGUCCCUUGU
rnacentral:ncRNA from 1 species